rnacentral:lncRNA from 10 species
CACUAUGAGAGCGCAGGCUACACGUCCUGGUUUAGGAGCCAUACUUUGUGGAAAGGUGAGAGUUGAAGCAUGACCUUCCACUGAGAGCCAGGUUCUCACUAUGCUGCCCAGCCUGGACUUCAAACUACGGGGCUCAAGUGAUCCUCCUGCCUCAGACUUCUGAGUAGCUGAGACUGCAGGCGUAAGCCACCAUGCCCAGUUUUGACUAUUAACUUUUAAGGAAUCAAACUCAGUCCACGUGGAAUAGCAACAAUACUAUGUGCCAGGCACUGUCCUAAAUGCUUUGGAUAACUGGAUCACCUGAAUAUCCCUGGGAAGGAAGAAUAAUCAUUAUCACCAUUUUACAGAUGAGGAACAGCGAGCUAACUACCUUGCCCAGACAGUAGGGAAAGCACCAGAAUGUAGUCGCUAUGCUGUACUGCACGCAACAUCUAUGAUCGAGGCAUAUGAUCAAGGCAUAGCCAUCCACAGAGACGAUUUAAUUGAAUUAGGCAAGUAAGAGAAUAUUGAACAACAAUGACACUUGACAUGUUGGAUGCUGGCACUCAGUGCAGGUUGGGAGAAUAAAUUACUUCCUUUGAAAUCUGCGAACAUUUCCUCUUUUCCAUAGACAUGGGCUGCUGGUAAUAAAAUAUGUAGAAAAUGAAAUUUUGGGAGCUUUACUUGUGUUUCUAAGGCUAGUUAUUCAG